rnacentral:rRNA from 1 species
UAGGGAAUCUUCCACAAUGGACGCAAGUCUGAUGGAGCAACGCCGCGUGAGUGAAGAAGGUUUUCGGACCGUAAAGCUCUGUUGUUGGUGAAGAAGGAUAGAGGUAGUAACUGGCCUUUAUUUGACGGUAAUCAACCAGAAAGUCACGGCUAACUACGUGCCAGCAGCCGCGGUAAUACGUAGGUGGCAAGCGUUGUCCGGAUUUAUUGGGCGUAAAGCGAGCGCAGGCGGAAGAAUAAGUCUGAUGUGAAAGCCCUCGGCUUAACCGAGGAAUUGCAUCGGAAACUGUUUUCUUGAGUGCAGAAGAGGAGAGUAGAACUCCAUGUGUAGCGGUGGAAUGCGUAGAUAUAUGGAAGAAUACCAGUGGCGAAGGCGGCUCUCUGGUCUGCAACUGACGCGAGCGCUGAAGAAGAUGGG